UUAAAACAAAGUAAAGCUAAAAUAAAGCUAAAGUUCUGUUUUCCGUUUUUCUCCGUCACUAAGUCUUCGCCUCUGCUCCUCAAUAUCAUGAGUCGACUCACCGAUUCAGCCGAUCUCGCUAGGUGCCGACUCAUCUCUAAGAGCUUUAACACACUCUCUCGCGAGGCCUGGUCCAUCAACCUCCUCUGCACCUCAUCUCGAUAUCUCAAGUUGAGGUCACCGGAGACCAAAUACCAUAUUUAACAGCCAGGUCCUCAAUUCGUUGACCCUCGAAUCCAUCUCGAUGGCAUGGAGAAGUCGCUCCGCUAAAUAUCGUACGACGACGUCGAGGAAUAUUCUGCCGACGUGGGGUUCGUGAACGAGAGGCUGCCGAAGGUUGUAGGGAGAUAAGAUCACUGUCCAUUUCGGAUUUUUGGAUUCAAUCUUGUUGGAGACGAUCUGAUAUUUUGGCUUUGGUUUCUUCUUGCUGUCAUAGUCUUCGCAAAGUUGAGGUGAAGAAUGCUUGGUGAAGAAUGCUUGGCCAUCGGUAGAUGGUUUGAAUCCGCUGCCUGUGCUUACAAGUAUAACACUCGAAUCUACAAGACUAGAUGAUGAGGACCUAAGCAAGGCUAAUCAUUGCUUCCCUUGUCUCCAAGUUCUCAAUUUGAUAGGAGUUGGGGAACUUAAAGAACCUAAGAUCCUUCUCUUUCACCUUAGAACAUGUCGAUGGACAGUGUCAAAUUCUCCACAUUCUGUGACUAUUAUGCACCCAAGCUUGUGAAACUAGAACUUAAUUGUAUUGAACCAAAAUUACUUGCCCUUGAAACAACAUUAUUGUCGGAUUUCUAUCUUUCACUUUGGAAAGCAAAUAAGUUUUAAAGUAAAAGAUUUGCUUGAUUUGAAA